rnacentral:lncRNA from 1 species
AUUAGGGCCAACUGGGUAAAGCUGAGCGGGUGUGCUGUUCCUUAGGCUGUCGAGGCUGUCUCCUACCAGACAGAAACCGAGGUCCAAGGAAGAGGAGGGGAGAGUUUCGGAGCCAAAUGUUUUUCCUCCAGCUAGACUUUACACCCGAUGUUCACUUAGUCUCCCUAGGACAUGUUGUUUCCUUUGCUUCCAGGAACUUUGGUCAAGGGCACCAAAGAGGGGUCUUACUAUGUAAGGCCAUGGUUGGCCUCCAAUUUACAGAAAUUCACCUAUCUCUACCUCCUAAGUGCUGGGAUUAAAGGCAUUCGCCAUGACACUUGGUGAGGUUUAUUAUUAUUAUUAUUAUUAUUAUUGGUGGUGGUGGUGGUGGUGGUUUUGCCUGCACGUAUGUAUGUGCACCAAGCACAUGGCCAGUACCCACGAAGGUCAGAAGAGGGCUUUUGGGUCUCCUGAAACUAGAGUCACAGAUGGCUGUGA